rnacentral:rRNA from 1 species
UACGUAGGGUCCGAGCGUUGUCCGGAAUUACUGGGCGUAAAGAGCUCGUAGGUGGUUUGUCGCGUUGUUCGUGAAAACUCACAGCUCAACUGUGGGCGUGCGGGCGAUACGGGCAGACUAGAGUACUGCAGGGGAGACUGGAAUUCCUGGUGUAGCGGUGGAAUGCGCAGAUAUCAGGAGGAACACCGGUGGCGAAGGCGGGUCUCUGGGCAGUAACUGACGCUGGAGGAGCGAAAGCGUGGGAGCGAACAGG